rnacentral:rRNA from 1 species
UACGGAGGGGGCAAGCGUUGUUCGGAGUCACUGGGCGUAAAGGGCGCGUAGGCGGUGCGUAAAGUCAGGCGUGAAAGCCCCGGGCUUAACCUGGGAAUUGCGCUUGAUACUGACGUGCUAGAGAACGGGAGAGGAUGGCGGAAUUCCCAGUGUAGAGGUGAAAUUCGUAGAUAUUGGGAAGAACACCGGUGGCGAAGGCGGCGACCUGGUCCGAUACUGACGCUGAGGCGCGAAAGCGUGGGGAGCAAACAGG